UGGGGAAUAUUGCACAAUGGGCGCAAGCCUGAUGCAGCCAUGCCGCGUGUAUGAAGAAGGCCUUCGGGUUGUAAAGUACUUUCAGCGGGGAGGAAGGCGAUAAGGUUAAUAACCUUGUCGAUUGACGUUACCCGCAGAAGAAGCACCGGCUAACUCCGUGCCAGCAGCCGCGGUAAUACGGAGGGUGCAAGCGUUAAUCGGAAUUACUGGGCGUAAAGCGCACGCAGGCGGUCUGUCAAGUCGGAUGUGAAAUCCCCGGGCUCAACCUGGGAACUGCAUUCGAAACUGGCAGGCUAGAGUCUUGUAGAGGGGGGUAGAAUUCCAGGUGUAGCGGUGAAAUGCGUAGAGAUCUGGAGGAAUACCGGUGGCGAAGGCGGCCCCAUGGACAAAGACUGACGCUCAGGUGCGAAAGCGUGGGGAGCAAACA
rnacentral:rRNA from 1 species